rnacentral:rRNA from 1 species
AAUCCAUAGGUUAAUGAGGCGAACCGGGGGAACUGAAACAUCUAAGUACCCCGAGGAAAAGAAAUCAACCGAGAUUCCCCCAGUAGCGGCGAGCGAACGGGGAGGAGCCCAGAGCCUGAAUCAGCAUGUGUGUUAGUGGAAGCGUCUGGAAAGGCGCGCGAUACAGGGUGACAGCCCCGUACACAAAAGCGCAUGUGCUGUGAGCUCGAUGAGUAGGGCGGGACACGUGGUAUCCUGUCUGAAUAUGGGGGGACCAUCCUCCAAGGCUAAAUACUCCUGACUGACCGAUAGUGAACCAGUACCGUGAGGGAAAGGCGAAAAGAACCCCGGCGAGGGGAGUGAAAAAGAACCUGAAACCGUGUACGUACAAGCAGUGGGAGCCCCACCACCAAAGCGUUUCGCUUUGUGUGGUGCACAAAGAAGCGUAACGACAGCACUGAAUGACGGUUAACGGAGCGCAAGCGACGUUCAACAUACAAAGUCAAGCAGUGGAG